ACACAAGUGCGCCCCCCGCGAGCAGAGGAAUCCCGCCGCACCUCUGUUCCCUGAACUCUGAGAGCUCUGGGAGUUCUUCAGUCACCUGACCAGGGGCAGGGUCUUCCUGAAGGACUAAAUUCUCACAAGAUCUUAGAUAAUACAUAUAUUUUCAAACCUUUUAAUUGAUACCAGAAUCUCUUAUACUGCAACUACAGGUAUUCAAUAAAUGUAUGUUUUCUCAGUUCAUUUGAAUCAUGGGCACACAGUGUUUUAUCCUUUUUUAGAUAAACAUCAGCCAAGCUGAAACUCUAGGCUGGCUUCCUUCUGCUUUCGAAUAAGAGCGGUUAAGAGAGAAGCCAGAAGGUUUUUUCCAGUGAUUUGUAUAUAGGUUUGUAAAUUUUUUUUCUUUUGGUUUUUUUCACUUCUUUGGAAGCUCACUUUUAUAUUUGCUUUUUUAUUUGCAGAAAUCAUACUUUUAAUCCUUGCAAGAAUAGAUUUAAUGCAGACCUUGCAUUUAUCUCUUUACAGGGUUGAUCUCCACAAUCUGUUUCUGCUACUGUAUAGGCUUUGGAGGGAAUCUAUGGCAGACUCUCUCAAAGAUCAUUAUGCUUUCUCCUGUGGUCAUGAGACACUGACUUCCUAAUCAUUAUGGCAUUUGCAGACAUUAUCAGAGCUUUUUCUGUAUUGCCCCGAGUCUCAUAAAAAUUUCCACCCUAUCAAUUUCUCUUAAACAACACCUUAUAAGCUCCUUCCCACUCAAUCCCCAGCUACUCAAAAUGCCCACUCACUAUCUUCCAUUGCACAGAUCACAUUUUGCAUUGGUUUCAAAACAUUUCUUAGCUUAGUCUUUAGCUCUUCAGACUUCUUGUGUUAAAUAAAUGACUGCAUUUCCCUCAAGACCGCUGCCCUGCGGGUAUUUAACUAUGGGAAGAAUCAAUGCCCAAACCAUCCCUGACGCUCCAGGGCAAAGGCAAUUACGAUAAAAUCGCUCACUGCACACUUGAAGGAAAAGGGAGAUUUUUGGAAGCACGAUCCUGUUCCUAAAGCCAGAAAGACAAUGUCUUUGCAAAAGCAAGACUGCUUUAUCAAGGGCAACACACUCUCCAGGCCAGUGUUCUGGAACUCCUGAUGCCCCUCAGGCAAGGGUAUCAAAGAAAUGAAUGCAGUUUGAAAGAAGCGAGGGGCUUGGCCGUGCUCACCUUAGAAACGCCGUGAUCCAACGGGACUUGUCCUGUUACACCCCUCCUGGUGAUGCUUCACGUCACCACUGUGAUUCUCUUGACGAGGUGCAAUUUCUAAUAGCCAUUAAGAAAAAAGUAGUGAGAGACCAGAAUUGGCCAAAAGCAAAUUGCUGAACUACCACUUCCUACUUAAAAGUAACGCCUAUUUGCCCAAAUGCAGAAGAUUAACCAUGUAUAACCUGUGGGGUAUAAAAUAAUCAUAUGACUCCCUGGAAGCCAAGUCACGCCUGAGGAGGAGCUGAGGAGAGGUUCAGGACCUGGGUGGCGGUGCUCCUCACAGUGACUUCGAGCUGCUUCUCCACUUGUGGCAACGGUGUGUGCUCAGACCUUCUCACUCCUGUGCCUAAUUAUUUCCCAUGAGCAAGGAAGGACACUUUGCAAACUGCCUGGGAAGGCGUAGACGUGUUUGGGAACGGGUACAUGAGACUGUGGUUAGGGCAGCCCCUGGAGCCCCUGUGCCUGGAUUUCCCCCAAAAUCUGUGCACCCGCAGGUAGGCUCCUGACCCUGUGGGGACUCCACAGUUCCUUCUUCUGUCAGAUUAACGGCCGAGUGGCUCUUGCCUCAGAGUGUCCUGAGAAAUACGGGGUGGAUCCUUGGGAAGCAGGGAGAACGGCGCUCACCCAGAGCAGGCUCUCAACGAAUAUGAGCUAUUGUUGUGUGAUUUAGGCCGUAAAUACAAGUCCCUAAAAGCUGGGCGCGUGAUCUUUACGAGAUGGCAGGUAACAGAUCUGAGUGCCUUGCGUUAGAGGUAGCAACUGAUGAUUUGCUUGGGGAACUCAUUUUUAGGUGUGAGUGAUUUAAAAAAUGCAAAAAAAAAAAAAGGAAAGGAAGAAGGAGAAAGAGUUCUGGAAUCAUAAAGGUGUUGGUCAUCAUAAAGUGUGCUGCUGUGAAUCGAGUCUCAGGAAAUACCAAAUGUUUUACAGCAAAGGGACACAGAGAUCAAUGCAAGCCAGGACCGGACCAGCUGGGGCUGCCAGGCCCACAGAGCCGAGCAUCUCUGCUUCCUCCCUGAGCUCACUGGGCGCCCACAACCGCUCGGGGCUCACCCUGCAUAUCGGGCUCGGAUGCUAGUCAGCCUUCACGCCUUCCCAUAGACUCCUGAACCCUGCUUGUCCCUGACCCCGAGCGAGCAUGUCCCCUUGUCAGCUUCUCUUGGGAACUGGCUGACCACAGCAGGUCGUUUUUCCUGGCAGAACAGGUCAUUCCCUUUGUCCAGCUGUCCCCCCUCCCCAACAGUCUGCUUCUCCUGUUUCUUCCCCUGACCCUGUAGAAGAAAAGCCUUCUUCUGUUUGAUUCUGAGCCACUCACAGACCUUAUGGUCACAGGGAGACCCACUGCCAUUGUCCCUACCUGACAAGAGUCCUUUUGAAUAAAAAUCUCUCCAUACUAAGUCCCGAGGUGUUGCUCUUUGACAGAGCUUGAGAUGUCCAUCUAUGCAGGGUGCCCUAUCCCCUCUUCUGUGUGAGAGGAACCCCUCUGUGUGACUUCCCUCUUCGUCCCUGCCCCGCAGCAGGCUGAUGGUUGCUGGAGACAAAAGGGAGCACCUUUUGCUCUUCCUCCCUCCUUUACCUCAUCAUCUUCCCCCUUCACCACUUCCCCCAACCUCUGAGGUUCUGCUUCUUGCUGUGCGUGGAAGCUCCUGGAAGACCUGCCUGCUAGGGGCCUCAAACCCCUCACAGAGGAAGACACAGCUCCCCUGGGGAAUUGGGGAAUGCAUGCAUCCUGCACUCUCUUCCCAGUCCCACUAACAUCCCCUUUGAUGGCCUUGUUCGGCAGGCAGGUGGAGAAGUCAGCCCUUUCAUAGCAAUUACAGCCCUGGACUUGGUCUGCCUAAAAAAAAAAAAAAAAAAAAAAA